rnacentral:rRNA from 1 species
UGAGGAAUAUUGGACAAUGGGCGGAAGCCUGAUCCAGCCAUGCCGCGUGCAGGAAGACUGCCCUAUGGGUUGUAAACUGCUUUUGUACAGGAAGAAACCUUUCCACGUGUGGAGAGCUGACGGUACUGUAAGAAUAAGCAUCGGCUAACUCCGUGCCAGCAGCCGCGGUAAUACGGAGGAUGCAAGCGUUAUCCGGAAUCAUUGGGUUUAAAGGGUCCGUAGGUGGAUUGGUCAGUCAGAGGUGAAAUCCUGCAGCUCAACUGUAGAACUGCCUUUGAUACUGCCGGUCUUGAAUUAUUGUGAAGUGGUUAGAAUAUGUAGUGUAGCGGUGAAAUGCAUAGAUAUUACAU